UUAGGCACAUGGAGGAUCAAAUAUGGAACAGAAAACUUGUAUUCCUCUUUAUACAUUACUUCUUGCUCUUGGUAAUCCUACAGUUCAUUACUUUUCACUGGACAUAGAGGGGGCGGAAUUAAAGGUUUUGAAAGCUAUACCUUGGCAUCUGGUGGAUAUAUGGUUGGUAGGAAUAGAGACAAAUCAUAUCGGAGAAUUUGACAAAACAGAGACAAG